GGCGGCAGGUUCUAACACAUGACGGAUGGAGCGCCCCGCAAGGGGGAGCGGCAGACGGGGAGAGUAAUAUGUGCCGAACGUACCCUUCAGUUCGGAACAACCCAGGGAAACUUGGGCUAAUACCGAAUACGUCCGUAAGGAGAAAGAUUUAUCGCUGAAGGAUCGGCCCUCGUCUGAUUAGCUAGUUGGUGAGGUAACGGCUCACCAAGGCGACGAUCAGUAGCUGGUCUGAGAGGAUGAUCAGCCUCACUGGGACUGAGACACGGCCCAGACUCCUACGGGAGGCAGCAGUGGG
rnacentral:rRNA from 1 species